rnacentral:rRNA from 1 species
UUAAGCAAAGAAGAGCGCAGGGUGGAUGCCUUGGCACUAAGAGCCGAAGAAAGACGUGAUAAGCUGCGAAAAGCUGCGGGGAGAUGCAAAUAAUCCUUGAUCCGCAGAUGUCUGAAUGGGGAAACCCGGUACGAAGAACUCGUAUCAUCCAUACGCCAAUCCAUAACGUAUGGAGGGGAACCCGGUGAACUGAAACAUCUAAGUAGCCGGAGGAAGAGAAAGAAACAUCGAUUUUGUUAGUAGCGGCGAGCGAAAGCGAAAGAGGCCAAACCGGAGUGCGUGCACUCCGGGGUUCGGACCGCAUUUAAGAUUCAGUGAUUCUAGCAGAAAGGUUUGGGAAAGCCUGCCGGAGAGGGUGAAAGCCCCGUAAGCGAAAGGAGAACUGACUGAGCGGGAUCCAGAGUACAUCGAGACACGAGAAACCUUGAUGGAAUGAGCGGGGACCACCCCGUAAGCCUAAAUACUACUUAGUGACCGAUAGCGCAUAGUACUGUGAAGGAAAGGUGAAAAGGACCCCGGGAGGGGAGUGAAAGAGAACCUGAAACCCUGUGUUUACAAGCUGUGGAAGUUCUUUAAAUGAACAACCGCGUACUUUUUGUAGAACGGUCCGGCGAGUUGCGGAUACUGGCAAGGUUAAGCACUUAAGGUGCGGAGCCGAAGGGAUACCAAGUCUUAACAGGGCGUUAAGUCAGUAUACGCAGACCCGAAACCGGGUGAUCUAUCCAUGUCCAGGUUGAAGUUGUCGUAAAAGACAAUGGAGGACCGAAGCCACAUCCGUUGAAAAGGGUGGGCAUGAGGUGUGGAUAGGGGAGAAAUUCCAAUCGAACCCGGAGAUAGCUGGUUCUCCUCGAAAUAGCUUUAGGGCUAGCCUCGAUUUAGUCUUAUGGAGGUAGAGCACUGAAUUUCCGCGGGGGCGUCAAAGCUUACCAAAGAAUAUCAAACUCCGAAUGCCAUGUAGAUGAUGAACGGGAGUCAGACUGCACGAGAUAAGUUGGGCAGUCAAAAGGGAAAGAGCCCAGACCGCCAGCCAAGGUCCCAAAGUGUGUGUUAAGUGGAAAAGGAUGUGGGAUCUCCAAGACAACUAGGAUGUUGGCUCAGAAGCAGCCACACAUUCAAAGAGUGCGUAACAGCUCACUAGUCGAGAGGUCCUGCGCCGAAAAUGUCCGGGGCUGAAACACAACACCGAAGCUGCGGAAUUGCGAAUGCAAUUGGUAGAGGAGCAUUCUUAAUACCGACGAAGCUGUACCGGAAGGAGCAGUGGAGGGAUAAGAAGAGAGAAUGCCGGAAUGAGUAGCGAGAGAGAGGUGGGAAUCCUCUCGGCCGAAUAUCCAAGGUUUCCAGAGUAAAGCUGAUCUGCUCUGGGUAAGUCGGGGCCUAAGGCGAGGUCAAGAGACGUAGCCGAUGGACAACAGGUUUAGAUUCCUGUACCGCAUAUAAACAGAACUGUGGGGACGCAUGGGGAGAGCAUGGGCCGGGAAUGGAAAUACCGGUGCAAGCGAAGGAGGUGUGCAGCCGGCAAAUCCGCUGCAUGAGCCGAAAGCGUGACGCGGAGCGAAAUGAAAGUAGCGAAGCAUGUGAGCCCUGUGCCGAGAAAAGCCGCUAUAGCUUUAUAUGUGCCCGUACCGUAAACCGACACAGGUGGAUGAGGAGAGAAUCCUAAGGCCGGCGGAAGAAGUAUUGUUAAGGAACUCGGCAAAAUGACCCCGUAACUUCGGGAGAAGGGGUGCCCAUGAAAGUGGGCCGCAGAGAAUAGGCUCAAGCAACUGUUUAGCAAAAACACAGGUCUAUGCGAAACCGAAAGGUGAAGUAUAUGGGCUGACGCCUGCCCGGUGCUGGAAGGUUAAGAGGAGAGGUUAGCGCAAGCGAAGCUUUGAAUUUAAGCCCCAGUAAACGGCGGCCGUAACUAUAACGGUCCUAAGGUAGCGAAAUUCCUUGUCGGGUAAGUUCCGACCCGC